rnacentral:rRNA from 1 species
AUUGAACGCUGGCGGCAUGCCUUACACAUGCAAGUCGAACGGCAGCGCGGGGCAACCUGGCGGCGAGUGGCGAACGGGUGAGUAAUAUAUCGGAACAUACCCUAGAGUGGGGAUAACGUAGCGAAGUUACGCUAAUACCGCAUACGCACUAAGGUGGAAAGUGGGGGAUUCGCAAGAACCUCAUGCUCAUGGAGUGGCCGAUAUCUGAUUAGCUAGUUGGUGAGGUAAAGGCUCACCAAGGCAACGAUCAGUAGCUGGUUUGAGAGAACGACCAGCCACACUGGAACUGAGACACGGUCCAGACUCCUACGGAGGCAGCAGUGGGGAAUUUUGGGACAAUGGGGGCAACCCUGAUCCAGCAAUGCCGCGUGAGUGAAGAAGGCCU